rnacentral:lncRNA from 1 species
AGCUUUGUGUACAAAAUUUCCAAACGUCAGUAAUGAACUUAUGUUUUGUCAAUUAUUUUGUUUAACAUUUAGCUUACUUGUGUUUUAAAUUGAAGUUGGCAAAUGAGCUUUUUUAGCUUUUAAAAACCAGAAGUAAGGCAGUGUGUCUAAUUUUGAAGAGUUAACUAAAACAAGAAACAACUAGGCUUACAAUAGGGGCAAUGAUGCUGAUAAAUCAUUAUCUGGGUAUGUUGUGUGAUGAACUUGUAGCCAAUAUGAUUGGAUAGUUGGAUGAACGGCCAGCAUAAGCCUUUUUGCUUUGGUGAUAACUUAAGUAAGUUCUGAUAGGUUGUUCUCGGCAAAUCGUGAUUUCACCUACUAAAAAGUUGAAAAUUAGGUUUGUGGUAUUAGAAUAUAAAUCUUUUCUUGCUGGAAACCAAUGUAUGUACAUCGAUGAAUUAGUUUUGGUUUGCAAUUCAAUAAAUUUAUUUAAUGUUUAAUUUGGUUAACAACGCACAUUUUUAACCUAUUUGUAAGUUAUAGUUUAUGAUACUCUAAAUUUGUUGUUGAUGAAGAAGUAUUUGGGAUCCUUUGGUCUCUCCAAUGGAGUAAGAGGAACAAUUGAAGCUCUGAGAUUUUCUUAAAAUACAAUGUUCAACUACUUGAGGAAGAAGGACAGAGCUUUCUAAAUGCUUGAAGGAUAACAGACUGUUUGUCGAGACCUUGAGAGUUGUUGUUUUAAGUCUCAGUAGCUAAAUAUCCUGAUUGGAUUUUUCGAGAAAAGGUCCUCGCUUAAUUUAUCAGUUGUGAUAGCAUUUACUUAUUUUGUAUUUUUAUUUCCAUUCUUUACUUAAACUUGAUUAAUUAUUUUUAAUUUCACUUUUUUAUCUUAUUCUUUUGUUGAUUUUUAUACAUGAACCAUUGCUCUGAUUUUCAUAUGAUGUCAUCUUAAAACUGUUUAUGCUUCACUUUUCUGGUGACAGAAACUUGGAAGCACAAAAAUGCAUGUGCUGCCUGUAGCAGAGAAUGUCCUGAGGAGGUAUGUUGGUUAUAAGUACAAUCUGUUGUAGUUAUAUUUUGAAGGCAAAUUUUGUCCUGUACACCAACGAAUAAUGUUUGAACUAUAGAGUCCUCCAUAACAUAUUCUAAUUCUUUGUUAUGAAUUC